rnacentral:misc_RNA from 1 species
GCGGCUGCUUCCAUCGUCUUCCGUCGUUACAACCCGGGAUAUUCUAAUGAGCUCCUUAAUCAUGCACAUCAGCUGUUCGAGUUUGCUGAUAAGUAUAGGGGCAAAUAUGAUAGCAGUAUUACUGUCGCCCAGAAGUACUACCGAUCUGUCAGUGGAUACGCGGAUGAAUUACUAUGGGGAGCUGCAUGGUUAUACAAGGCAUCAAACAAUCAAUUUUACUUGAAUUAUUUGGGAAGAAAUGGUGAUGCUCUUGGUGGAACUGGUUGGUCUAUGACUGAAUUUGGUUGGGAUGUCAAGUAUGCUGGUGUCCAAACACUUGUUGCUCAGUUCUUGAUGUCUGGUAAGGCUGGUCAUAAUGCACCUGUAUUUGAGAAGUACCAGCAGAAAGCAGAGAACUUUAUGUGUUCAAUGCUUGGAAAGGGUAAUAGAAAUACCCAGAAAACUCCUGGAGGUCUCAUCUAUAGGCAAAGAUGGAACAAUAUGCAGUUUGUUACUAGUGCUGCAUUCCUUGCCACUACUUAUUCUGACUAUUUGGCUUCUGCUGGCAAAUAUCUCAAGUGUUCUUCCGGUUUUGUUUCUCCGAAUGAGCUCCUCUCAUUCGCUAAGUCACAGGUGGACUACAUUCUUG